rnacentral:lncRNA from 1 species
GAAUGAACUUGGAUCCCUAUGUCAGAAAGAGCAAGCAUGCUGAUUGCUGAUACAAAGGAAAGGUAAAUUCUCCAAUAGACACUUACAUCAACUUAAUUUUCAGGACGACCCUUCUGGACCCUUUCUAUUGUCGUCUUGGUGUCUGCAUCACUGAUGCCCCUUCACUCGUGCUGGGCUUCAUGCCUUUGCUGUGUUGUUAUCUGUUAGCUGUGAGCUCUGAUCUCAACAUGACCUUGGCUACACUCUUCAGGUUUCUUGAGGCUCUGCCUUCAUAGCUUUAUGUUAUCCCAGGUUCCUGCCAAUCUCACAAGCCUGGUUACUGAUGGGUCAGAGUAGCCAUAAUAACUCUCAUUGUACUGAUCCUGCAAGGAUCUCAGCCACCGUAAAGGGUCCAGGUUCCUGGGGGUGUCGCCCUUGGUGUCUGGGACACUGCCUCAUCACUGUCAUGUCUUAGAUGCAUCUGUCACCAUCCCCCGAGCAUCUCGAUUGCCUCCAGCCACCAACUGGCUCCACCUCUUUGGCAGGUCACCUGCUAUUGCCUACUGGAUGGAGUGGUCUUUUUUAAUAAACUUUUUAUUCCGGAACAGAUUUAGAUUAAAAAGUCACAAAUUUAGUAAAUAAAAUUUAUGAAAAUAGUGAAGAGAGUUUCCAUGUAACCCAUACCCAGUUUCCCCUAUCAUUAAUGUCUUACAUGUGUAUGGCACAUCUGUUAUAAUUAAUGA